UAAACAGAGAUUAGUAAUUGUUUGAACAACAGCAAAUCGGUCCAAAUCAACUCAGAUUUCUCUAUCUCUCUCUGUCGUCUUCCUGUUUCUCUCUCUAGGUUUUCGUUUUUGGUUGAAAGCGUACACCACUCUCGCUCUAGGGUUUUCAUUUUUUUUUGGUGUUGAUAAAGAUCAUACAACGCGUUCGAUUUCUCUGUAUUCAUUCAUCUUUGAGAAGAAGAAGAAGAAGAAGAAGAAGAAGAUGAGAACUUCAUUGAAGAAGCUACGAGGAUUCGCGCUUCACAGGCAUGGCGAUGGCAGGGGGGACAGAAGAGACCGUCGUCUUCAACAAUCUAUGGCCCAGUUGGACGAGCUUUCCCGUGCUUCCCAGGACAUGCUAGACAUGAGAGACUGCUAUGAUAGCUUGCUUUCUGCUGCAGCAGCGACAGCAAACAGUGCAUAUGAAUUCUCCGAGUCAUUAAGGGAAAUGGGUGCUUGUCUUCUUGAGAAGACUGCAUUGAAUGAUGAUGAAGAAAGUGGUAAAGUUUUGAUAAUGCUGGGAAAAGUGCAGUUUGAACUUCAGAGGCUUGUUGACAAUUAUCGUUCUCAUAUUGUCAAGACAAUCACGAGCCCAUCAGAGUCUCUUCUUAAUGAACUUCGAAUAGUUGAGGAGAUGAAGUGUCAGUGUGAUGAGAGAAGAAGUGUAUAUGAAUAUAUGAUAACAAAACAAAGAGAAAAGGGGAGGGCGAGAAGCAGUAAAGGUGAAACUUUUUCUCCUCGGGAGUUGCAAGCUGCUCAUGAUGACUUUGAUGAGGAGGCAACUUUAUUUGUAUUCCGUAUGAAAUCUCUGAAGCAAGGACAGUCCCGAAGUCUUCUUACCCAGGCAGCUCGGCACCAUGCUGCUCAGUUGUGCUUCUUCAGGAAGGCCCUCAAAUCUCUUGAAACAAUUGAACCACAUGUCAAGUCGGUCACUGAAGAACAACAUAUUGAUUACCAGUUCAGUGGACUUGAAGAUGAUGAUGGGGAUGAUGCUGACAGUGAUGAUAGUGAUUAUGAUGAUGAUGAUGAUGAUGAUGACACUGAAGACGGAAACCAUAGUGGGCAUGGUGAUGGUGAAUUAAGUUUUGACUAUGGAGAAAUUGACCAGGGGAAAAAUCUUGUUUCUACACCGAGAGACUCAAUGGAGUUGGAUCAAGUGGACAUCACAUUUCCACAAGUUGCUACAGUGAAUGCAGCAAAGGAAAAUUUAGAUAGAAACCCUGGUGGGGAUGUUUUCCCCUUCGGUAGAGACGUGAAGACAAGCAGCCAAUCGGCACCACUUACUGCUGAGAAGAAAUUUGAUCCUGCUGAACAGAUUAGACAAAUGCGGCCAAUCACACGGAAGAUUCACUCUUAUGUACUUCCAACACCAGUUGAACACCAGAGCCCAGUUUCCACAGGACCAGAUACUCAAGCUUCAAGAGCAAAACGGACAAGUUUGAGUGGUGCUUCACUUAAUUACAGGCAUUCAUCUCCUUUAGAACAGAGCAAGUACGAAAAUAUUUUUAGAAAUGAGAAAUUGUCAGGACCUAUCGUUCAAAGUCAACCAUCAGUACUCGGAGAGAGCAAUAAUAAUAAUACUACAUCGACCAGCAUACCCCCUCCUUUGACUGAGGAGCUCUCAUCACAGCAGCACGAUCAAUAUACUACUUCUGAUACUAAAAAAAUCAGAAGACAAGCUUUCUCUGGUCCGCUGACAGGUAAGUCGUGGUCGAACAAGCCAGGGUUAUCUGCCAGCAAUCCUAUUGGCGGAACAGGACCGCCUAAGCUGUUUUCUGGACCUCUUUUGCGUACUCCAGUGACUCGGCCAACGUCAGAUCCAAAAUUAUCUUCUGGUGCUUCCCCGACUCUUUUGUCAUCACCUAAAAUAAGUGAGCUUCAUGAGCUUCCAAGACCCCCAACCAAUUUAGCCUCCAAAUCUUCUGGAAGACCUUCGAAUCAAAUUGGUUAUUCAGGCCCACUGGUAUCCAAACGUCAGGAGAUACCGUCUGCAAAUAAAUUGGUAUCAAGUGUGGCAUCUCCGCUGCCAAUACCCCCUUUGAUGGUCCCUCGUAGUUUCUCUAUACCGUCCAGUAGUCAACGAGUGAGUAUGUCCAUGCCAUUGGGAGUACCACAAACUUUGAAGAAAGCUGAAGACAUUGCUUCCCCUCCUCUGAAACCAAUUUCCUUAUUGAACAUCCAGCCUGCAUCAACUUCUUAAAAAUUAGAGGUUGGAAAUGCUUUAAUGCUAUAGGAAACUCACCAUUCCGGUAUUGCGUGAAUAGGUAUACAGGUUGAUCUAAGUCAAUGCUCGUCCGGAAAUGUUUUUGUUUAAGCAAAGAUGUGGCUCUCAUUAUUAGGUACAUUGUGCAGACCUGUAAAUAUGUUUUUCUUCCAUUUUUGUAUUGUAAUCUUUGUCCAUUUAGGUAUUAAUCAUGACGAGCAACGUCAUAGAAAGCAUUAUAUUACUAAAGUCUCUUCCCUCAGAGGAGGAAUUUUGUCCCAAUUUUCUAAUUAAUUUUUUUUUUUUUUUCUUUUCAAAUUCA